UCCCUCUCCUCCUCCAACUGCUCCAAGAAAUCAUAUCCCACUCACCCAAUGCGCACGAUAGCACCUGCCCCCGCUCCCAGCUCCAGAAACUCAAGCCCGACCCCAUCGCAUGGAUCAUGGACUCCCACACACCGGAGUCCCUCUCCACCUUCUUCAACCUCGUCUUCACCAUGCGCCUCUUCUGGCUCUGCGCCUUCCACGCGCCCCCGGAAGCCGGCUCCCUCUACUUCCACUCCCUCCUCACUCCCACCCUCGAAACGGCCUCGUCCAAACUCGCCUCCAUCCUCCGCACCUUCUUCAUCACCGUCGGCGUCGACACCGAACUUUGCUUCAUGCGCACCCUCGGUUACAUCAUAACAAAACUUCACAUGAUAAAAGAACUGAGCACCGGGCUAGGUUUAAAAACGCUUUUGCCUUCUCCCAGAUUCUCCUACGCGACGG
rnacentral:lncRNA from 1 species